rnacentral:rRNA from 1 species
CACGUAGGCGGGUUUUCAAGUGCUUUGUGAAAUCCCUCGGCUCAACCGAGGAAUUGCUUGGCAAACUGGAAGCCUUGAGGCAGGUAAGGGCGCGCGGAACUCUUGGUGGAGCGGUGAAAUGCGUAGAUAUCAAGAGGAACGCCGGCGGUGAAGACGGCGCGCUAGGCCUGUCCUGACGCUGAGGUGCGAAAGCCAGGGGAGCAAACGGGAUUAGAUACCCCGGUAGUCCUGGCCCUAAACGAUGUCCACUAGAUCGGAGUCACUCUGACGUGUUUCUGGUCGAAAUGAAAACGUUAAGUGGACCGCCUGGGGAGUACGGUCGCAAGGCUAAA